CCCGGCCCCUCCGCGCACGCCUGUCCCGGGGAUGGCCAGGCAGACAGCCCUCCACCCCAGGUCCCCGGCCUCCGCACAAUUCAGAGGCCACCUCUGCGGAGGGGAGGGCCGUGCGAGGCCGUGCGCCCCCGCGGGCACCUGGGGGGAACGGUGAGAACCCGGGUAGGGGCGAACGAAUGCAGAGAUGGAGUUAAGGGGGAGCCUCUCCUCCGCCUCCAGAUUGGGGAGCCGCAGCGAGAAGGACUUCUUUCUUAGGUUUGGCUAUUGGAAACCUUCUCCCUGCGGAUCCCGUCCAGAGAUGACCCCAGAUUCUGGGAAGCAGGGAGAAGCCAGACACCCCCAUCGCCACCACCCCGUGCAGCCGGGGGGGGGGGGGGCACCCUCUCUGGGGCUUUACUGAAAAUGAGUAAGGGCCUUCCGGGUGGAGGUGGGGGAGUGUUUGUUACCGUUUCUUUUACCUCUUGAGAGUUCCAGGAUCUUAUCUUGUUUGGGGCUCACAACCCAUACUUUCAGGCAGAGUUCCUAGCUGCUUUCACAAACAUGGAAAAAGUGAGGUCCCGGAGUCUUGGAAUUUACCCGAGGCUGAAGAAUGAUCUAGGGGUAUGAGGUCCAAGCUCCUAGCUCACUACUUGGACCCUCUCCUGAGACCUGUGGAAGGCACGUGGGCGCACACACAGAGACAGAGAAUGGCUUAUAUAUGGGGUAUUAUAAGAGAAAAAAAAUGGGCAUAAACAUAGGUUGUGUUCAUCAUUGCCAAGUUCAUGCUACUGAACUACUAGGAACCCAGAUGGUUGGGCUAUUUCCUAAUUAACAAAUAACUAUGCAGCCCCCACUGGUACACAGACCCUGUGUCCUUGAGGCAGGGCCUUAAGGUGCCAGGGCCCCAUCGAGGACCCAACGUCAAAGCCAGAUGAGCUGACCAGACAGGGGGGAUGUUUAACCAGAGGAUGCACCAAAAUGCAAUGUCAAGGCAGAAGACCAGCAAAUUCUUUUUUUAACCUCUCAAGACCCUUUCCAAGAGUCCCCAGCCUGUCCCAGCUCUCCUCAUCUGCGGCUCUGGAAGCCCAGUGGAGGCCCACGGAGCCAAUGGACACUCACGGGUGCCUGGGCGCAUGCCUCCCGGAUUCGAGGCUGGAGCUGCCUUCUCCCCGACCGGGUUUGAGAGCCUGUGUUCAUUUCACACUCCAGGGAGCAAGGAAAAGUACUCUGCCUGAAGGCCUGGCUUCCCGGGAGUUUCCAGAAACUGAUUUUCUAGAAAUUGCCCAAUGCUGCUAGAAUCUAUGCCAUUGUUUAAAACUGACUUCUGCCAAGGGAAAGGACGUGGAGUCAGAGAAUCGCAAAGAAUCCCUGGAUAGGACCUCAGAGAUCAAGUCCAACCUCCCUCCCUCUGUAAGGACUUUUUUUUAUUUUUUAUUUUUGUAAUUAUUUAUUUUUGGGGGGGAGAGAGAGAGAGGCAGAACGUGAGUGGGGGAGGGGCAGAGAGAGGGAGACACAGAAUCCCAAGCAGGCUCCAGGCUCUGAGCUGUCAGCACAGAGCCCGACGAGGAGCUCAAACUCACAAACUGUGAGAUCAUGACCUGAGCUAAGUUGGAUGCUUAGCCGACUGAGCCGCCCAGGCGCCCCCAGGACCUCUAAAACAUCUGGCCCAGGGAUCUUCCUGCUUCUGUUAAUGGCGAUGGAUAACUUCUGGCAGAUAAUCUGGACAGAGGGUUUGCGCAUCCACAUCUCACACCCCCUUUGGGAAGGAUUAAGAACGACAAAGAUAACCGCAGUGUACCCCCCCACCCCCAGCCACUUGCAGGAGAGGAGUGUGAUGGGGCUCCAGCCGGUGGGAAGCUGCCUUCUCUGGUCAUGGUCGUGACCCGUUACACGUGCACAGCACUGUGGGUUUGGAUGGCCCCUCUGCG